rnacentral:misc_RNA from 1 species
AUUCCGUAGGUGAACCUGCGGAAGGAUCAUUCAUAAUAAAGUGUUUUAUGGCACUUUUUAAAAAUCCAUAUCCACCUUGUGUGCGAUGUUAGAUCUCGUCAAUCUUGGCGAGAUUUUUAUACAUCAACUCAUUUUUUAACUAAUUUGUCUGAAAAAUAUUAUGAAUACUUAAUUCAAAAUACAACUUUCAACAACGGAUCUCUUGGCUCUC